UGAUGGUCAUGCACAGUUCUGGGAGAUGUUAUCACGUGCUAUCUCAUUCGGUGAUAUCGUCACCCAGCACCGCACAUGUCCAUCA
rfam:Ornithorhynchus anatinus chromosome X1, whole genome shotgun sequence.